ACCCUACGGGGCGCAGCAGUCGGGAAUAUUGCGCAAUGGAGGAAACUCUGACGCAGUGACGCCGCGUAUAGGAAGAAGGUUUUCGGAUUGUAAACUAUUGUCGAUAGGGAAGAAAAAAGACUGUACCUAUCAAGAAAGCACCGGCUAAAUACGUGCCAGCAGCCGCGGUAAUACGUAGGUGGCGAGCGUUGUCCGGAAUUACUGGGUGUAAAGGGAGUGUAGGCGGGAAAGCAAGUCAGAAGUGAAAACUAUGGGCUUAACCCAUAGCCUGCUUUUGAAACUGUUUUUCU
rnacentral:rRNA from 1 species